GGACGAACGCUGGCGGCGUGCUUAACACAUGCAAGUCGAACGGAAAGGCCCUGCUUUUGUGGGGUGCUCGAGUGGCGAACGGGUGAGUAACCCGUGAGUAACCUGCCCUUGACUUUGGGAUAACUUCAGGAAACUGGGGCUAAUACCGGAUAGGAGCUCCUGCUGCAUGGUGGGGGUUGGAAAGUUUCGGCGGUUGGGGAUGGACUCGCGGCUUAUCAGCUUGUUGGUGGGGUAGUGGCUUACCAAGGCUUUGACGGGUAGCCGGCCUGAGAGGGUGACCGGCCACAUUGGGACUGAGAUACGGCCCAGACUCCUACGGGAGGCAGCAGUGGGGAAUAUUGCACAAUGGGCGGAAGCCUGAUGCAGCAACGCCGCGUGCGGGAUGACGGCCUUCGGGUUGUAAACCGCUUUCGCCUGUGACGAAGCGUGAGUGACGGUAAUGGGUAAAGAAGCACCGGCUAACUACGUG
rnacentral:rRNA from 1 species